rnacentral:rRNA from 2 species
UAGGGAAUCUUCCGCAAUGGACGAAAGUCUGACGGAGCAACGCCGCGUGAGUGAUGAAGGCUUUCGGGUCGUAAAACUCUGUUGUUAGGGAAGAACAAGUGCUAGUUGAAUAAGCUGGCACCUUGACGGUACCUAACCAGAAAGCCACGGCUAACUACGUGCCAGCAGCCGCGGUAAUACGUAGGUGGCAAGCGUUAUCCGGAAUUAUUGGGCGUAAAGCGCGCGCAGGUGGUUUCUUAAGUCUGAUGUGAAAGCCCACGGCUCAACCGAGGAGGGUCAUUGGAAACUGGGAGACUUGAGUGCAGAAGAGGAAAGUGGAAUUCCAUGUGUAGCGGUGAAAUGCGUAGAGAUAUGGAGGAACACCAGUGGCGAAGGCGACUUUCUGGUCUGUAACUGACACUGAGGCGCGAAAGCGUGGGGAGCAAACAGG